CCUAGCCUUGAUGCUAACGGGACCACGAUGUAGCUGCGAGUGAAGUCAGUGACAUUUUAUGGAAGAAACACUGCUUUAUUUUCAUGUUUAUGAGUCUGUACAUGUUGGAAGUUGCUGUGAGAGAGUUCCAGCCGGCUGCGACCGGAGGAUUUGCUUUAUUUUGUUUAUACGAACAAGGACUCCGAUUGUUUUUUUUUUUUUGAAUUGCUGGAUCUGCAUUUUGGUGGGACAGCGUCGAUUCCAACCAGGGUUCCUGUCUGAGGCGAGGCAGAGUAGAGAGGAUCUGAAAUUCUCCAUCUUCAUCAUCUUCCUGAAGAUUCACGCCUGGAGCAGAUAAGAUCUAAGCUGCGCGCAUCAAGCACACAAACAUACACAUUCUACCCGGGUAGCACACAUGCACUGAAUAAACUUGGACGUACAUGGAUACAAACUGAACAGUUUGGACUGGACUUUGACGAACAUUGACAUUAGACAGCAAUAAGCUGUGAAGGGACACUUUACUUUUGUUUUUUAUUUUUAUAUUGGGAAAUUGAAUCUGAAUUGUGAUUCCACUUUUUGUUGAUUGUGAGAAUAAAUAUUGCUGUGUUGACCUUUA